AAGGAGUCUAACAUAUCUGCGAGUAUUUGGGUGUCAAACCCGAGCGCGCAAUGAAAGUGAACGUAGGAGCCACGCGGAAGCUGCAGCGUCGACCAAUCUGGAUCUUUAGUGAUGGAUUUGAGUAAGAGCAUAUAUGUUGGGACCCGAAAGAUGGUGUACUAUGCCUGAAUAGGGCGAAGCCAGAGGAAACUCUGGUGGAGGCUCGUAGCGAUUCUGACGUGCAAAUCGAUCGUCAAAUUUGGGUAUAGGGGCGAAAGACUAAUCGAACCAUCUAGUAGCUGGUUCCUGC
rnacentral:misc_RNA from 1 species